rnacentral:rRNA from 1 species
AGAGUUUGAUCCUGGCUCAGACGAACGCUGGCGGCAGGCUUAACACAUGCAAGUCGAGCGGGCUCUUUCGGGGGUCAGCGGCGGACGGGUUAGUAACGCGUGGGAACGUGCCUUUUGCUUCGGAAUAGCCCUGGGAAACUGGGGGUAAUACCGGAUGUGCCCUGAGGGGGAAAGAUUUAUCGGCAAGAGAUCGGCCCGCGUCUGAUUAGGUAGUUGGUGGGGUAACGGCCCACCAAGCCGACGAUCGGUAGCUGGUUUGAGAGGAUGAUCAGCAACACUGGGACUGAGACACGGCCCAGACUCCUACGGGAGGCAGCAGUGGGGAAUCUUAGACAAUGGGCGCAAGCCUGAUCUAGCCAUGCCGCGUGGGUGAUGAAGGCCUUAGGGUCGUAAAGCCCUUUCGCCGGGGAAGAUAAUGACGGUACCCGGUAAAGAAACCCCGGCUAACUCCGUGCCAGCAGCCGCGGUAAUACGGAGGGGGUUAGCGUUGUUCGGAAUGACUGGGCGUAAAGCGCGCGUAGGCGGAUCAGGAAGUUGGGGGUGAAAUCCCGGGGCUCAACCCCGGAAUGGCCUUCAAAACUCCUGGUCUUGAGUUCGAGAGAGGUGAGUGGAAUUCCGAGUGUAGAGGUGAAAUUCGUAGAUAUUCGGAGGAACACCAGUGGCGAAGGCGGCUCACUGGCUCGACACUGACGCUGAGGUGCGAAAGCGUGGGAGCAAACAGGAUUAGAUACCCUAGUAGUCC